UACGUAGGGUGCAAGCGUUGUCCGGAAUUAUUGGGCGUAAAGGGCUCGUAGGCGGUCCAUCACGUCGGGAGUGAAAAGCUGGGGCAUAACCCCAGUCCUGCUUCCGAUACGGGUGGACUAGAGGUAGGCAGGGGAGAACGGAAUUCCUGGUGUAGCGGUGAAAUGCGCAGAUAUCGGGAGGAACACCAGUGGCGAAGGCGGCGACCUGGGCCAAUACUGACGCUGAGGUGCGAAAGCGUGGGGAGCAAACAGG
rnacentral:rRNA from 1 species